rnacentral:rRNA from 1 species
UACGAAGGGGGCUAGCGUUGCUCGGAAUCACUGGGCGUAAAGGGUGCGUAGGCGGGUCUUUAAGUCAGGGGUGAAAUCCUGGAGCUCAACUCCAGAACUGCCUUUGAUACUGAGGAUCUUGAGUCCGGGAGAGGUGAGUGGAACUGCGAGUGUAGAGGCGAAAUUCGUAGAUAUUCGCAAGAACACCAGUGGCGAAGGCGGCUCACUGGCCCGGUACUGACGCUGAGGCACGAAAGCGUGGGGAGCAAACAGG